rnacentral:tRNA from 1 species
GCCGAAGUGGUGGAAUUGGUAGACACGCUAGACUUAGGAUCUAGUACCGCGAGGUGUGGAAGUUCAAGUCUUCUCUUCGGUACCA